UACGUAGGGUGCGAGCGUUGUCCGGAAUUAUUGGGCGUAAAGGGCUCGUAGGCGGUCUGUCACGUCGGGAGUGAAGACACGGGGCUUAACCCCGUGCCUGCUUCCGAUACGGGCAGACUAGAGGUAUGCAGGGGAGAACGGAAUUCCUGGUGUAGCGGUGAAAUGCGCAGAUAUCAGGAGGAACACCGGUGGCGAAGGCGGGUCUCUGGGCCGUAACUGACGCUGAGGAGCGAAAGCGUGGGGAGCGAACAGG
rnacentral:rRNA from 1 species